rnacentral:rRNA from 1 species
UGGGGAAUAUUGGACAAUGGGCGAAAGCCUGAUCCAGCCAUGCCGCGUGUGUGAAGAAGGUCUUCGGAUUGUAAAGCACUUUUAGUGAGGAAGAUAAUGACGGUACUCACAGAAGAAGUCCUGGCUAACUCCGUGCCAGCAGCCGCGGUAAUACGGAGAGGGCUAGCGUUAUUCGGAAUUAUUGGGCGUAAAGGGCGCGUAGGCUGGUUAAUAAGUUAAAAGUGAAAUCCCGAGGCUUAACCUUGGAAUUGCUUUUAAAACUAUUAAUCUAGAGAUUGAAAGAGGAUAGAGGAAUUCCUGAUGUAGAGGUAAAAUUCGUAAAUAUUAGGAGGAACACCAGUGGCGAAGGCGUCUAUCUGGUUCAAAUCUGACGCUGAAGCGCGAAGGCGUGGGGAGCAAACA